rnacentral:rRNA from 1 species
AGAGUUUGAUCCUGGCUCAGAUUGAACGCUGGCGGCAGGCCUAACACAUGCAAGUCGAACGGUAACAGGAAGCAGCUUGCUGCUUUGCUGACGAGUGGCGGACGGGUGAGUAAUGUCUGGGAAACUGCCUGAUGGAGGGGGAUAACUACUGGAAACGGUAGCUAAUACCGCAUAACGUCGCAAGACCAAAGAGGGGGACCUUCGGGCCUCUUGCCAUCGGAUGUGCCCAGAUGGGAUUAGCUAGUAGGUGGGGUAAAGGCUCACCUAGGCGACGAUCCCUAGCUGGUCUGAGAGGAUGACCAGCCACACUGGAACUGAGACACGGUCCAGACUCCUACGGGAGGCAGCAGUGGGGAAUAUUGCACAAUGGGCGAAAGCCUGAUGCAGCAACGCCGCGUGAGUGAUGACGGCCUUCGGGUUGUAAAACUCUGUCUUCAGGGACGAUAAUGACGGUACCUGAGGAGGAAGCCACGGCUAACUACGU